rnacentral:tRNA from 1 species
GGAGAGAUGACCGAGUGGUUUAUGGUGCAGUCUUGGAAAGGCUGUUUAUCAGAAAUGGUAACUAGGGUUCAAAUCCCUAUCUCUCCA